rnacentral:rRNA from 1 species
ACACAUGCAAGUCGAACGAAGAGUUAUUAAAUGAGAGCUUCGGCAGGAUUUUGAUAAAUCUUAGUGGCGGACGGGUGAGUAACGUGUGGGCAACCUGCCUUAUACUGGGGAAUAAUCACUGGAAACGGUGACUAAUACCGCAUAAUGUCUUUUUACGGCAUCGUGAGAAGAAGAAAGGAGCAAUCCGGUAAAAGAUGGGCCCGCAUCUGAUUAGCUAGUUGGUGAGAUAACAGCCCACCAAGGCGACGAUCAGUAGCCGACCUGAGAGGGUGAUCGGCCACAUUGGGACUGAGACACGGCCCAAACUCCUACGGGAGGCAGCAGUGGGGAAUAUUGCACAAUGGGGGAAACCCUGAUGCAGCAACGCCGCGUGAAGGAAGAAGGUUUUCGGAUCGUAAACUUCUAUCAAAAGGGACGAAACAAAUGACGGUACCUUAAUAAGAAGCCCCGGCUAACUACGUGCCAGCAGCCGCGGUAAUACGUAGGGGGCAAGCGUUAUCCGGAGUUACUGGGUGUAAAGGGAGCGUAGGCGGCAUGGUAAGUAAGAUGUGAAAGCCCGAGGCUUAACCUCGAGGAUUGCAUUUUAAACUAUCAAGCUAGAGUACAGGAGAGGAAAGCGGAAUUCCUAGUGUAGCGGUGAAAUGCGUAGAUAUUAGGAAGAACACCAGUGGCGAAGGCGGCUUUCUGGACUGAAACUGACGCUGAGGCUCGAAAGCGUGGGGAGCAAACAGGAUUAGAUACCCUGGUAGUCCACGCCGUAAACGAUGAGUGCUAGGUGUCGGGG